rnacentral:lncRNA from 1 species
GCGCUCGCAGGCUGCCUAGUCGUUCGCUCGCUCUCUCUCGCGUGCUCCCUCUCGCCGCCUGUGGGGAAGUCGGGGCCGCCCGAGCGGCCGUCGCCACCGCCUCGCCCCGACCUCCUUCCCGGUCCCCUCCCGGCCCAGUCCCUCCCGCCCGCGCACCCCGAGUAGUGAGUGGCCCCGCGCAGGGUCUGGAGAGUCACCGCGGCGGCGCCGGGUGGUGGUUAAACCAUGUUAAGGAGGAUUUUACAGAGGACUCCUGGGAGAGUUGGCUCUCAAGGUUCUGAUUUAGAUUCAUCAGCAACUCCUAUAAACACAGUGGACGUCAAUAAUGAAAGCUCUUCAGAGGGUUUCAUAUGUCCCCAGUGUAUGAAAUCUCUUGGAUCUGCUGAUGAACUUUUCAAACAUUAUGAAGCUGUUCAUGAUGCUGGUAAUGACUCAGGUCAUGGAGGAGAGUCUAAUCUUGCUUUGAAGCGAGAUGAUGUAACACUGCUCAGACAAGAGGUCCAAGACCUACAGGCUUCACUUAAGGAAGAAAAAUGGUACUCGGAAGAAUU